CAGCAGCCACGGUAAUACGUAGGUGGCAAGCGUUGUCCGGAAUUAUUGGGCGUAAAGGGCUCGCAGGCGGUUUCUUAAGUCUGAUGUGAAAGCCCCCGGCUCAACCGGGGAGGGUCAUUGGAAACUGGGAAACUUGAGUGCAGAAGAGGAGAGUGGAAUUCCACGUGUAGCGGUGAAAUGCGUAGAGGUGUGGAGGAACACCAGUGGCGAAGGCGACUCUCUGGUCUGUAACUGACGCCGAGGAGCGAAAGCGUGGGGAGCGAACAGGAUUAGAUACCCCCGUAGUCCCUGUCUCUUAUAC
rnacentral:rRNA from 1 species